ACCCCUGUUUCCUCUUUAAUUUUUUUCGCCACAAAACCCGUUGAGCCCAAGUCUACCCUUUUCCAUCCUGUCAGUUUGAGUGGUGAAUAUAAAUUUGUUUUUGUUUUGCUCUGGUUUUGCUUUUGUCCAUUUUGUCAGUAAAAACAAAAACAACCGCUUUUUACGGGAAAAAUAUUGCAAGAAUGUUUGCAUCUUUAUAUUAAUUAUUUAUCGUCGUUAUCUAGUGCCAGUGAACCUAGUGAACUGUUCGCGCUUUGUCUCAAGAAAACCAUCCAAAUUCCGGAAGAAGGUUUAAUUAGCUCCCUGCAGCUGCGAUGAUCCAACGGAACCAACUUCCCUCUCCGUUCAGUGUUAUUCUUCUGCUGAAGUCAACCAAAUUUGCUGUGCCAAGUGGGGUCCUCGCUCGAUCGGCCUCGGCACGGAACCUCGUCGAUACUCUCCGUGAUCUCAUACGAAUUGGUCAAGAAAUGACAAGGGAACACAUCUUCGUUGCAACGUUUCUACCUCAUUUUCGGCAAAGCCUACGGUUAUCAACACUGAUCACCGCAAAUCCGUGCAUUUUUUGGCCUUCGUGGAAUCGAAGAGGUGCCCAAAUCGGACAGUACACUCCCGUUUAUAUGGUGAAGACAUUCCCGUCACCCGGCUGCCUGGUAUUGUCCGGAACUGCCAACAGCUGCAGCCGCAUGAUUGAUGCCCGUACCUUCAGCAACUGCAACGAAUAGCGUGUUAACAUUGCACCAGUAGGUACGGUAAGAUCCAGUCUCCAAGCGUUGAAGCCCAGGGAUAGUCGUCUGUGCCCUGCCGGGACAAUAUAUUGCAAUUAACUUCAUGAUCAGCAGCAUAAAUCAUAAAAAUCAAGGAAAAAAUAACUGAACGCUGUACAAGGAAUGUCCAACAAACGACCUGUUCCUGCUUUAUUAAUAAUACCUCUGGUGAAUUCUCCUGAUCCAUUAGGUCCUGAUCUUUACUACUUUUUCCUGAAUCCUUUUGAUGCUAAUAUGCAUACGUCAGCAGGCCACCUAGUAUAAACAACUGUAUCUCCUUGCUGCUAAUGGGCCUCAUUGACAACGGCUUUUUGGAAUAAGUUUUUAGACACAGCUCAAUUAGUACAAAACCUUCACAUGUGAGGGUUUAUCUUUAUAAACAGCAGGUCGAUGUUUUCGUGGCUUAGCUUGUACCUGGUAGAAAGUUCUAUUUUCGGUUUCGCUACCGACAACUCUGAUGUGAAUAUGUUUGGUUUAUUGUACAUACUGUAUAUAAUGGAAAGCCCAGGAUUGAUAACAGUCUAUUAAGACUACAGCUGAUCAACCCUAAAAAACGUAAAUAAAAAGAUAAGGUCUUGAUUCAAUUAAUUUUUAUAGUA